UAUUUUUUAAUUUAAAACAAAAUGUAUUAAAAAGACUAUAUUGUAGAAAAGACGUUAACAAUAAUAUAUACAAAAGAUUAUAUAAUAAAUAAAUAAUAACAUCAUUGCAACAUGAAUUACACUCCAUAAACUCGAACUGUGAAAGAAAGUGUUUGAACAAAUAAAACUAAGUCUAUCAAUCACAAUUUCAUUAUUCUUAUAAACAAGGUGAAACAGGUUCAUUUGCUGUUGUUACUAAACAAUUCCAUGUUUGUCAAAAUAAAAAUCAUCUAUAAGCUCCAAAGACCUAAUUUACAACAACAUUAUUUUCAGUACAAAAAAAUGUUUCGACUCAUUAGCUUGGUAGUCCCUACUAUUUUAUUAACAUUCUUUUUGCCAUCAAGGAUUAACUGAGAAAAUAAUAUAUUUUUAAAUAUAAUAACAAUGGGAAUGGGCAGCAAAAAUUGGAAUCAAUUUCCCCAAAAACAGGUCUUUAGAGUGAGAAUUUAAAAUUAAAAAAAAGAUUUAAAACAAAUGCAUUGUAUUAUACAGGUUUUAACUUUGUUUUAAAACUUUAUUAAACCUCAUACUUUUGUUAUGGAUGUAUUAUAGCAAUAGGAUAACAAUUAAAAUAUACCAUGAAGUCUAAAUAAAGAAUUUAAUUCCAUAUUGAUAAAACUUUAGCACUUUUUUUUAUAUGAAUUCAGAUUUUGAAUUAAACAGCAUAUUCACCUUUGGAAAAUGAAUAUCUACCAUGCAUUACGUCACAUGCUUUUAUGUAUAUAAUAAUGGUAAAUUCCUUUGAUGUACAGUUGGAUUUGGCAAAUAAUUGUCAUUAUAAACAUUUUCUUUCUUGGAAUACGGAAUAAAAAAAAAAUUUUGUUUUGGUAAAUAUGUUGUUAACUGACUUUUGAAAAACUGAUAUUCACUUCAUAUGUUAGCUUCACUGAAUAUCAGUUUUUCAAAAGUCGAUAAAACGUCGUAUCUAUUUGAUCAACAGACAGUAAUUAUAUAAAAUUCAAUGCAAGAACUAGUGCUAGACAGUGUUAAAAGAGUGAAAAGUACUUAAAAGUCCAAUGCCACUAGAAUGUCGUAAUUUGUGCUAGGCAGUGUUAAAAGAGUGAGUAGUAGUUAAACGUCCAAUGCCACUAGAAUCUCAAAAUUUGUGUUAGGCAGUGUUAAAAGAGUAGUAGUUUUAAGUCCAAUGCCACUAGAAUCUCAUAAUUUGUGCUAGGCAGUGUUAAAAGAGUGAGAAGUAGUUUAAAGUCCAAUGCCACUAGAAUCUCAUUAUUUGUGCUAGGCAGUAUUAAAAGGGUGAGAAGUAGUUUAAAAUCCAAUGCCAUUAGAAUCUCAUUAUUUGUGCUAGGCCGUGUUAAAAGAGUGAGAAGUAGUUUAAAGUCCAAUGCCACUAGAGUCUUGUAAUCUGUGCUAGACAGUGUUAAAAGAGUAGUAGUUUUAAGUCCAAUGCCACUAGAAACUCAUAAUUUGUGCAAGGAGGUGGUAAAAGUGUGAGAAGUGGUUUUAAGUCGAAGGCCACUAGAAUCUCAUAAUUUGUGCUAGGCAAUGUUAAAGAGAGAGAAGUAGUUUAAACUCCAAUGACACUAGAAUCUCAUAAUUUGUGCUAGGGAGUGUUAAAAGAGUGAGAAGUAGUAAUUUAAAGUCAGAUGCCACUAGAAUCUAAUAAUUUGUGCUAGGCGGUGAAAAAGAAUGAGAAGUAGUUGAAAGUCCAAUGCAACUAGAAUCUCAUAAUUUGUGCUAGGCAGUGUUAAAAGAGUGAGAAGCAGUUUAAAGUCCAAUGCCACUUAAAUCUCAUAAUUUGUGCUUGGCAGUGUUAAUAGAUUGAGAAGUAGUUUAAAGUCCAAUGCCACUAGAAUCUCAUAAUUUGUGUUAGGCAGUGUUAAAAGAGUGAGAAGUAGUUAAAAGUCCAAUGCCACUAGAAUCUUAUAAUUUGUGCUAGGCAGUGUUAAAAGAGUGAGAAGUAGUUUAAAGUCCGAUUCCACUAGAAUCUCGUAAUCUGUGCUAGGCGACGAAAAAGAGCGAGAAGCAGUUUUAAGUCCAAUGCCACUAGAAUCUCAUUAUUUGUGUCAGGCAGUGUUAAAGAGAGAGAAGAAGUUUCAACUCCAAUGACACUAGAAUAUCAUAAUUUGUGCUCGGCAAUGUUAAAAGAGUGAGAAGCAGUUUAAAGUCAAAUGCAACUAGAAUCUCAUUAUUUGUGCUAGGCAGUAUUAAAAGAGUGAGAAGUAGUUUAAAGUCCAAUGCCACUAGAUUCUCGUAAUCUGUGCUAGGCAGUGUUAAAAGAGUGAGAAGUAGUUAAAAGUCCAAUGCCACUAGAAUCUUAUAAUUUGUGCUAGGCAGUGUUAAAAGAGUGAGAAGUAGUUUAAAGUCCGAUUCCACUAGAAUCUCGUAAUCUGUGCUAGGCGACAAAAAAGAGUGAGAAGCAGUUUUAAGUCCAAUGCCACUAAAAUCUCAUUAUUUGUGUCAGGCAGUGUUAAAGAGUGAGAAGUAGUUUAAACUCCAAUGACACUAGAAUCUCAUAAUUUGUGCUAGGCAAUGUUAAAAGAGUGAGAAGUAGUUUAAAGUCCAAUGCCACUAGAAUCUCAUUAUUUGUGCUAGGCAGUAUUAAAAGAGUGAGAAGUAGUUUAAAGUCCAAUGCCACUAGAAUCUUGUAAUCUGUGCUAGGUGGUGUUAAAAGAGUGAGAAGUAGUUGAAAGUCAAAUGCCACUAGAAUCUCAUAAUUUGUGUUAGGCAGUGUUAAAAGAGUGAGAAGUAGUUUAAAGUCCAAUGCCACUAGAAUCUCGUAAUUUGUGCUAGGUGGUGAAAAAGAGUGAGAAGUAGUUUAAAGUCCAAUGCCACUAGAAUCUCAUUAUUUGUGCUAGGAGGUGUUAAAAGAGUGAGAUACUUCUUAAUGCUGUGUGCUUAGGAAAGAAGCAGAAAAUACCAAUUUUAAAGUAUUUUGUUUGAACAUGCUAAUACGAGACCAAUGAUGUGGUUUAAAAGAGUGAGAUGUGGUGUAUCAUAAUCAGUUAAACAACAUGGACAUAUAAAACAACAUGCGAUAUUCACAAAUACUUAUGUUUGACCUUUUUACAAAUGUAAGUUAAAAAAUAGACUAGAGGUGCACAACACAAAAACAUAAUAUACAACGAAAAUCUGUCAAAAUAUUUCAUGUACAUGGGUUGUACUAUUUUUAAUUCAGAAUCAGAUACAACCCUUUUUUAACAUUGGGCAAAACUCAUUACACUCACAUUAAAUAAAAUCUCAAAAGCUCAUUUUAUUGUAGAUGCUUGAGGAAAGAUGUGCAUAAAAUAGGCGGUAUUCAUUUGUCACUUCUGACAAAAUAGUAUUUGCUGAAUAGUGCGGUAUCAAAAAAGAGAAUGUUAAUGCCAAUUUGUUGGAAGGAAGAUGAGGAAAGAUGUGCACACAAAAGGCAGUAUACAUUUCCCUGCUGAAAAUUUUCAUUUGUUUAAAAGUACAGUUUCUAAAAGAGAAUGUAAACGAUGGUCAAAGAAUGAUCGAGAAAUGGAAAAAAAAGAUAAAACUUAGCUUCUUAAUUUUAAUGCCCAUUUGUUUGAAGGAUCUUGCAGGUAAAAGAAUGUUUAUUGUUAGUGGAGUAUGAUCAAAUUCAGAAAUGUGAUCUCAAAGUUAAUUCAAAAUGUUAAUGCCCAUGUGCUUAAAGGCAGUUGAGAGUAGACAUCAAAGCUCAGUAAAUGUUGCAAUUUAAUAUCAAAGCUCAAUUACUAGAUGGCAGUAGACUUUAAAUGUGAAUAUUUAAAGCAGUAUGCAUUAGUCCCUGUUGACAAACCUUUUUAUUAGUAGUGAUUUUUAAUUGGUCUUUUAUGAUUGUGGAGACAAGAUGGGAUAUUUUUGCAAUGAAUGUCUGUUUUAACAUUAAAGAAAUUAGUCUAGACUAAGUUCAGGAAAUUAAUAUUUUAUACACAAAAAUGUUAGUGUGCAUUUGUCUUUGUUUACAAAGUUAAAUUUGCUCAACAGUGGUAUACUAAUAGGAGAAUGAUCAACAGAUGGUGGUUGAAAGAUGAUCAAAUACUGACAAAUAAGGCUUUUUUAAAUGUUCCAUGAUAAAUCCUGUUUGCUAUGAACAACUAUCAAAAACUAUGGUCUAAGUGUCUGUAUAACUAAUGGUGACUUUGCAAUUGUCCUGACUUUUUAGUGAAAUCUCAAAUGCUAACUCUAGUUCAACUUUGAGUUUUGAGAUUUGUUUAGUUGG